GACGAACGCUGGCGGCGUGCUUAACACAUGCAAGUCGAACGAUGAAGAAAAGAAUUGAAGCUUCGGCAGAAAUUCAUUUCGGAUUAGUGGCAGACGGGUGAGUAACGCGUGAGCAACCUACCUCUUACAAAGGGAUAGCCUCGGGAAACCGGGAUUAAUACCAUAUAACAUUGCGACGAAGCAUUUCGAUGCAAUCAAAGCUACGGCGGUAAGAGAUGGGCUCGCGUCCCAUUAACCAGAUGGUGAGGUAACGGCUCACCAUAGUAACGAUGGGUAACCGGCCUGAGAGGGUGAACGGUCACACUGGAACUGAGACACGGUCCAGACUCCUACGGGAGGCAGCAGUGGGGAAUAUUGCACAAUGGAGGGAACUCUGAUGCAGCGACGCCGCGUGAGUGAUGAAGGAAUUCGUUUCGUAAAACUCUGUUCUAUGGGAAGAAAAGGACUGUACCAUAGGAGAAAGCGCCGGCUAAAUACGUG
rnacentral:rRNA from 1 species